GAUGAACGCUGGCGGCGUGCUUAACACAUGCAAGUCGAACGAUGAAGCCCAGCUUGCUGGGUGGAUUAGUGGCGAACGGGUGAGUAACACGUGAGUAACCUGCCCUUGACUCUGGGAUAAGCCUGGGAAACUGGGUCUAAUACUGGAUAUGACUUCUCAUCGCAUGGUGGGGGGUGGAAAGAUUUAUUGGUCUUGGAUGGACUCGCGGCCUAUCAGCUUGUUGGUGAGGUAAUGGCUCACCAAGGCGACGACGGGUAGCCGGCCUGAGAGGGUGACCGGCCACACUGGGACUGAGACACGGACCAGACUCCUACGGGAGGCAGCAGUGGGGAAUAUUGCACAAUGGGCGCAAGCCUGAUGCAGCGACGCCGCGUGAGGGAUGACGGCCUUCGGGUUGUAAACCUCUUUCAGUAGGGAAGAAGCGAGAGUGACGGUACCUGCAGAAGAAGCGCCGGCUAACUACGUG
rnacentral:rRNA from 1 species